GAAGUACUCCCUUUGUUCGGAAUUACUUGUCGCGUGUAUGGAUGUAUCUAGAUGUAUUUUAGUUCUAAAUACAUCCAUUUUUACGACGAAUAAUUUGGAAAGGAGGGAGUACCAC
rnacentral:pre_miRNA from 1 species